rnacentral:rRNA from 1 species
UGGAUCUACGGGGGGCAGCAGUGGGGAAUAUUGCACAAUGGGGGAAACCCUGAUGCAGCGACGCCGCGUGAGCGAAGAAGUAUUUCGGUAUGUAAAGCUCUAUCAGCAGGGAAGAAAAAAAUGACGGUACCUGAGUAAGAAGCACCGGCUAAAUACGUGCCAGCAGCCGCGGUAAUACGUAUGGUGCAAGCGUUAUCCGGAUUUAUUGGGUGUAAAGGGUGCGUAGACGGGAAAUUAAGUUAGUUGUGAAAUCCCUCGGCUUAACUGAGGAACUGCAACUAAAACUGAUUUUCUUGAGUACUGGA